rnacentral:rRNA from 1 species
GAUGAACGCUGGCGGCGUGCUUAACACAUGCAAGUCGAACGGAAAGGCCCAAGCUUGCUUGGGUACUCGAGUGGCGAACGGGUGAGUAACACGUGGGUGAUCUGCCCUGCACUUCGGGAUAAGCCUGGGAAACUGGGUCUAAUACCGGAUAGGACCACAUUUUGGAUGGUGUGGUGGAAAGUUUUUCGGUGUGGGAUGAGCUCGCGGCCUAUCGGCUUGUUGGUGGGGUAAUGGCCUACCAAGGCGUCGACGGGUAGCCGGCCUGAGAGGGUGUACGGCCACAUUGGGACUGAGAUACGGCCCAGACUCCUACGGGAGGCAGCAGUGGGGAAUAUUGCACAAUGGGCGCAAGCCUGAUGCAGCGACGCCGCGUGGGGGAUGACGGCCUUCGGGUUGGAAACUCCUUUCGCUAGGGACGAAGCGUUAUGUGACGGUACCUGGAGAAGAAGCACCGGCUAACUACGUG